GCGGAUGUGGUGAAAUUGGUAUACACAGCAGACUCAAAAUCUGCCGCCGAAAGGUAUGUGGGUUCAAGUCCCACCAUCCGCACCA
rnacentral:tRNA from 1 species